rnacentral:rRNA from 1 species
UACGUAGGGGGCAAGCGUUGUCCGGAUUUAUUGGGCGUAAAGAGCGUGUAGGCGGCUUUACAGGUCCGUUGUGAAAACUCGAGGCUCAACCUCGAGACGUCGGCGGAAACCAUCUGGCUAGAGUCCGGAAGAGGAGAGUGGAAUUCCUGGUGUAGCGGUGAAAUGCGCAGAUAUCAGGAGGAACACCGGUGGCGAAGGCGGAUCUCUGGGCCUUACCUGACGCUGAGGAGCGAAAGCAUGGGGAGCAAACAGG